UGCAAGUCGAGCGAACAGAAGGGAGCUUGCUCCCGGAUGUUAGCGGCGGACGGGUGAGUAACACGUGGGUAACCUGCCUGUAAGACUGGGAUAACUCCGGGAAACCGGAGCUAAUACCGGAUAGUUCCUUGAACCGCAUGGUUCAAGGAUGAAAGACGGUUUCGGCUGUCACUUACAGAUGGACCCGCGGCGCAUUAGCUAGUUGGUGGGGUAAUGGCUCACCAAGGCGACGAUGCGUAGCCGACCUGAGAGGGUGAUCGGCCACACUGGGACUGAGACACGGCCCAGACUCCUACGGGAGGCAGCAGUAGGGAAUCUUCCGCAAUGGACGAAAGUCUGACGGAGCAACGCCGCGUGAGUGAUGAAGGUUUUCGGAUCGUAAAGCUCUGUUGUUAGGGAAGAACAAGUGCGAGAGUAACUGCUCGCACCUUGACGGUACCUAACCAGAAAGCCACGGCUAACUACGUGCCAGCAGCCGCGGUAAUACGUAGGUGGCAAGCGUUGUCCGGAAUUAUUGGGCGUAAAGGGCUCGCAGGCGGUUUCUUAAGUCUGAUGUGAAAGCCCCCGGCUCAACCGGGGAGGGUCAUUGGAAACUGGGAAACUUGAGUGCAGAAGAGGAGAGUGGAAUUCCACGUGUAGCGGUGAAAUGCGUAGAGAUGUGGAGGAACACCAGUGGCGAAGGCGACUCUCUGGUCUGUAACUGACGCUGAGGAGCGAAAGCGUGGGGAGCGAACAGGAUUAGAUACCCUGGUAGUCCACGCCGUAAACGAUGAGUGCUAAGUGUUAGGGGGUUUCCGCCCCUUAGUGCUGCAGCUAACGCAUUAAGCACUCCGCCUGGGGAGUACGGUCGCAAGACUGAAACUCAAAGGAAUUGACGGGGGCCCGCACAAGCGGUGGAGCAUGUGGUUUAAUUCGAAGCAACGCGAAGAACCUUACCAGGUCUUGACAUCCUCUGACAACCCUAGAGAUAGGGCUUUCCCUUCGGGGACAGAGUGACAGGUGGUGCAUGGUUGUCGUCAGCUCGUGUCGUGAGAUGUUGGGUUAAGUCCCGCAACGAGCGCAACCCUUGAUCUUAGUUGCCAGCAUUUAGUUGGGCACUCUAAGGUGACUGCCGGUGACAAACCGGA
rnacentral:rRNA from 1 species